UUCUAUGGAGAAUUUACCAAAUAUUAUUAAAAUUGCACAUGCGAAUCACUAUAAAUAUAGACAUCAUAUCAUCAAAGUGUAUAUCAGAACAAGAGUAGAUAUACAUCUGAAGAGAAUUGCUACUAAGGAAAUAUGAAUUCAAAGAUUGUAAAACUUUACAUUUCUUGCUUAUUUGUGGGUUUCAUCAUGCUUGCAUUGCUCUCCCAUUCCGGCCAGGCUGAAACAUUGGUAUACCAAGGGCCUUGUUCUGAUCCGAAAUACAAAGAUUGUAAUCAAUAUUGUACCAGCACUGGGUUCCCUGCUGGUGGUAAAUGUAUGCAAGGGGCCCCUGGAGCUCCAAUUGCUUGCUAUUGCAUAGUACCAUGAUCGAAUUAUUAUGUAUCUCUUCAACUAAUAAUAUAUGAACUUCAUUUAGUC